AACGAACGCUGGCGGCAUGCCUAACACAUGCAAGUCGAACGAGACCUUCGGGUUUAGUGGCGCACGGGUGCGUAAAGCGUGGGAACCUGCCCUUAGGUUCGGAAUAACUCCCCGAAAGGGGUGCUAAUACCGGAUAAUGUCUUCGGACCAAAGAUUUAUCGCCUUUGGAUGGGCCCGCGUUGGAUUAGCUAGUUGGUAGGGUAAAAGCCUACCAAGGCGACGAUCCAUAGCUGGUCUGAGAGGAUGAUCAGCCACACUGGGACUGAGACACGGCCCAGACUCCUACGGGAAGCAGCAGUGGGGAAUAUUGGACAAUGGGCGAAAGCCUGAGCCAGCAAUGCCGCGUGAGUGAUGAAGGCCUUAGGGUUGUAAAGCUCUUUUACCCGGGAUGAUAAUGACAGUACCGGGAGAAUAAGCUCCGGCUAACUCCGUG
rnacentral:rRNA from 1 species